AUUUACAGAUGGAAGGCAAGCUCCACUAUACAAAGGACAGCUCAGGAGGAAGGAAGAAAACAAAGCACUGGCUAGCCGCAUUAUGCUUCUCAAUAAUGAGAUAGAUCAAGGCAUGAAAAAUUGGUCAGAGAGGCAAGAAAAAUGCAGAGAGGAGCAGCUGCUGAGACAGAAGCACCAACUGAAGAGCAAGGCAUUAUUUAAAAAAACUGCAAAACCCAAAUAAAUACAGAUUGUAUAUUUGUACUGUGUAUUUUCUACCAUUCCAGGAGAUCACUGUAGGUUUUUCCACUGGUUGUGUGUUUGAGGUAGAUGUCACUGUUUUAGUAAAGGUUUUAGCGCACAAGGUGAUGGCACAAUAAACAAAACCAUAACUAGAAAGAUAAUGUUAAACCUAUUCCCUCCUGGAGGGUACCUCAGUAAUCUACACGUGCCGAGGUUUAUGAGGACCUGGAAAAGUCUGAGUGUUUCAAUCUUGUAAAUGUCACAUCAAAAAUACAACCACCUGCAACAUUUCAUUAAAUGUUUCAUUAAAUUAAACAUUUCAGUUCUUCUCCUAA